GAUAAACGCUGGCGGCGCACAUAAGACAUGCAAGUCGAACGAACUUAACCUUUAGUUUACUAUUGGAGCGGUUAGUGGCGGACUGGUGAGUAACACGUAAGCAACUUACCUAUCAGAGGGGAACAACAGUUAGAAAUGACUGCUAAUACCGCAUAUGCCAUGAGUAUCACAUGAUACAAAUGGGAAAGGAGCAAUCCGCUGAUAGAUAGGCUUGCGUCUGAUUAGAUAGUUGGUGGGGUAAUGGCCUACCAAGUCAACGAUCAGUAGCCGAACUGAGAGGUUGAACGGCCACAUUGGGACUGAGAUACGGCCCAGACUCCUACGGGAGGCAGCAGUCGGGAAUAUUGCGCAAUGGAGGAAACUCUGACGCAGUGACGCCGCGUGCAGGAAGAAGGUUUUCGGAUUGUAAACUGCUUUAGACAGGGAAGAAAAAAGACAGUACCUGUAGAAUAAGCUCCGGCUAACUACGUGCCAGCAGCCGCGGUAAUACGUAGGGAGCAAGCGUUAUCCGGAUUUAUUGGGUGUAAAGGGUGCGUAGACGGGAAUGCAAGUUGGUUGUGAAAUCCCUCGGCUUAACUGAGGAACUGCAACCAAAACUACAUUUCUUGAGUGCUGGAGAGGAAAGUGGAAUUCCUAGUGUAGCGGUGAAAUGCGUAGAUAUUAGGAGGAACACCAGUGGCGAAGGCGACUUUCUGGACAGUAACUGACGUUGAGGCACGAAAGUGUGGGGAGCAAACAGGAUUAGAUACCCUGGUAGUCCACACCGUAAACGAUGGAUACUAGGUGUAGGGGAUGAAUAAUCUUCUGUGCCGUCGCAAACGCAGUAAGUAUCCCACCUGGGGAGUACGGCCGCAAGGUUGAAACUCAAAGGAAUUGACGGGGGCCCGCACAAGCAGUGGAGUAUGUGGUUUAAUUCGACGCAACGCGAAGAACCUUACCAGGGCUUGACAUAUAUAUGACAGUCUAAGAGAUUAGACCUCUCUUCGGAGCAUAUAUACAGGUGGUGCAUGGUUGUCGUCAGCUCGUGUCGUGAGAUGUUGGGUUAAGUCCCGCAACGAGCGCAACCCCUGUUCUUAGUUACCAGCACGUUAAGGUGGGAACUCUAAGAAGACUGCCGGUGAUAAAUCGGAGGAAGGUGGGGACGACGUCAAAUCAUCAUGCCCUUUAUGUCCUGGGCUACACACGUACUACAAUGGCUGUAACAAAGGGAAGCGAAACCGCGAGGAGGAGCAAAACCCAAAAAAGCAGUCUCAGUUCGGAUUGAAGGCUGAAAUUCGCCUUCAUGAAGCCGGAAUUGCUAGUAAUGGCAGGUCAGCAUACUGCCGUGAAUACGUUCCCGGGCCUUGUACACACCGCCCGUCACACCAUGAGAGUUGGGAAUACCCGAAGCCUGUGAGCUAACUAUAAGAGGCAGCAGUCGAAGGUAGAAUCAAUGAUUGGGGUGAAGUCGUAACAAGGUAGCCGUAUCGGAAGGUGCGGCUGGAUCACCUCCUUUCUAAGGAGAAUACUCUAAAAUGAUUUUAUUGUUUAUUUUUCAAUGUACUUUAUAUUAGUACAUUAGUGUUAAUUAUGCCUUAUUAUAUAUUCUGAAAUUAUAGUAAGAAAAUAAUAAGAAGUAGAUUUAUCGAAAAAAUAAUUAAAUACUUAAAAUUUCAUAUUUGGGGCUGUAGCUCAGUUGGCUAGAGCGCCUGCCUUGCAAGCAGGAGGUCAGGAGUUCGACUCUCCUCAGCUCCACCAGACUGAUAUUAAAUCAGUUAUAAUUAAAAUUCUAAGUAAGCAAAAGAAAUGCAAAACUUAAAAUUUUAAAAAGCACAUUGAAAAAUAUAUAGAUGAAAAAAAUGUUGAAUUAAGUAAAAACUUAAAACAACAGAAAAAGGUAAACUAGAAUUAUAUGCUAGUAACUUUGUUGAAAAACAAAGCGUUUUAGGAAAACGAUUGACCAAAAAAGCGAAACAUAAGUAAAUAAAAAUUAUGUAAGCAAAAAAAGGUUAAGCUACUAAGAGCAUAGGGUGAAUGCCUUGGCACCAAGAGCCGAAGAAGGACGUGAUAAGCUGCGAAAAGCUAUGGGGAGGAGCAAAUAUCCAAUAUAUCCAUAGAUAUCCGAAUGAGGAAACUCUAGUCAGGAAAAAAGCUGACUAAUCCAUACAUGAGUAAAGUAGUGUAUAGGAGGGGAACGUAGGGAACUGAAACAUCUUAGUACCUACAGGAAAAGAAAGAAAACUCGAUUCCUUGAGUAGUGGCGAGCGAAAGAGGAAGAGCCUAAACCAGAAGAAGUAAUUCUACUGGGGUAAAGGACUACAUAAAUGAAUCAUGAGAUUUAGCAGAACUGUUUGGAAAAGCAGACCAAAGAUAGUGAAAGUCUAGUAAGCAAAAAAUCAAGUGACAUGGUAGUAUCCAGAGUAGUGCGAGACACGAGAAAUCUCGUAUGAAGAAGUGGGGACCACCCCAUAAGGCUAAAUACUACUUGGUGACCGAUAGUGAAAC
rnacentral:rRNA from 1 species